ensembl:lncRNA
AAGCCAUGAUGAAGCUACUGGAUCUGAUUCUGCUACAGCUGAGAGUAGUGUUAAGUUAGGAUUGAUUGCUGAAGUCAAAUCAUUCUGCAAGCGAAGUACAAAACUGCCUGUAAAGUUCUUUGGAUGUCAGGCUGCCUAAGUGAAGCCCUUCAGGAAAGAGGUAAAAAUAAAUGAGACCUACUGGAACUCUUUUUGCAUUCCCUUUCCUCUGGAAGCCUUGUCAUUGUAUAUAACUGCCCAGUCACAGAAGCUCAUCUCUCUAAACAGAAUACAUUAAGUCAAACUAUAGCGCUUUUUUGGAGAUGGAUACCAGUCCUACAUAUGCUCUUGUGCUAGAGAAUCAGCAAUUGAAGAGUGAAGAUUUUGACAUGCUAGAAAAUACUGGCAUGACCUCUGCUGGCAGAGGAAAGUUAUCAACAGAUUUUAAUCCUCAGAGUGUUGAAACCUCAGCUGAAAAGCACUCUCUGCAAAGAGGCUUCUCACUAACUCAUGCUGACCAAGAAGGCAAAACAUCCAUUUCUGGAAUCUCUGAUCCUCUUAAAGUUACUGAAGAACCUCAGGUGUGGAAUUUAAAACCUGAUCUAGAGAUACCAUAUCAAGCCAAAAUUGCAUCAAUACCACUAUCUUCUUUGCCAUCUAAACUACAGGAACUACUAUCAGCUGCCGCAAAAAAUGUCUCUGAAGUAUGGCAAGCUACAGGAACAGAAUCUGUAAUUUAUGUAUGGCCAUUAAUAAAGUUAGAAGAGGCUUCCAGCUCCUUUUGGAACAAUUUUUCAAAGUCUUUAAUACCAAGCAGCGAAAACUUUCCAAGACACUGUUCUAGUCCUGAUAUAACUGAAGAUGUGAAAUGUUCCCAGAUAACCCCAGAGAAAGAAGAGCCAGCCAGAAAGACAGCAAGAUCCUAUCCUCUUAUUGUAAAAUCAUCUAACACUGGUGUUUCAGAAAUUUUGAAGUCACUCAUCACUAUGAAGAAUAAGGAUUAUAAGGAUAUGUUACCACUUUCAUCUGUCAGUUCCAUCGAAGAGCAAGUGGAAAUUCCUCUCUUUAACGGAAAUGCUCUAAUGAUCUAUAAUAGGCAAGUCUAUCUUCUAUAUGUAAUGACGCAUGAAGAUCUGACAGCAGAAAGGGAAAUGGUUUGGUAUCAUCCUAUGUUGCUUGUGAAGACCAUGGUUUGGCUCAUUACAUGUGGUUCUAUCCAUAAUCUACCUUUCGAAGUUCCACACCCACUGCUGCCAAGAGAGAAUGCUGUGAAACAGAACAUAAAAUGUCUUACAACCUGUGCUACCCCCACACACCAAGACAAAACGUCAAAUGAAACACAUUCCUCUUCACAUGAGAUGACUACCAUCUCUCAGCCCAAGAACUGCUCCCCCUCUACUGCGAAAAUGCAGCAGUUCCUCAACGAGACUGUAUCUCCAUCCAAAGAAAGCUUGGAAAAAAGAAAUGAGGAAGAAGCACCUGAGGAUAAAGACAAAGAACUAAGAAAGAAAUCUGGUAUUGUUAAAGAUAUUAUAUUCACUUUGUUACAUUCUGUCCUUUUAUGCAGACUUUGAUCUUUGCAGUUAGACUCGUUCAAGUAAUAAAAAGAUGCUGCAUCUUUAAAUUGUUCUUCA